rnacentral:rRNA from 1 species
AAAUUGAAGAGUUUGAUCAUGGCUCAGAUUGAACGCUGGCGGCAGGCCUAACACAUGCAAGUCGAACGGUAACAGGAAGAAGCUUGCUUCUUUGCUGGCGAGUGGCGGACGGGUGAGUAAUGUCUGGGAAACUGCCUGAUGGAGGGGGAUAACUACUGGAAACGGUAGCUAAUACCGCAUAACGUCGCAAGACCAAAGAGGGGGACCCUCGGGCCUCUUGCCAUCGGAUGUGCCCAGAUGGGAUUAGCUUGUUGGUGGGGUA